rnacentral:rRNA from 1 species
CCCUUAGAUGUUCUGGGCCGCACGCGCGCUACACUGACGAAGUCAGCGAGCAUGUCCUACGCCGACAGGUGCGGGGAAUCUUGUCAAACUUCGUCGUGAUGGGGAUUGAUUAUUGAAAUUCUUGAUCAUCAACGAGGAAUUCCUAGUAAGCGCAAGUCAGCAGCUUGCGUUGAUUACGUCCCUGCCCUUUGUACACACCGCCCGUCGCUACUACCGAUUGAAUGGUUUAGUGAGAUCUUCGGAUUGGCGCCACUGCGGCUCAGCAAUGGGCUCGGUGGAUGCCGAAAAGUUGAGCAAACUUGAUCAUUUAGAGGAAGUAAAAGUCGUAACA